ACAGCUAUUGAUAUGGGGAGUGCAGGGUCUGGUGAGGAGCUCCAGAAGCCUGAGGUCACAGAGUAAAUGCUGUUCUGGACUCUGGCCUUGGGCCAUACGGAAGAUGUCAUGUGGUCUGUACAAGUCUCAUUCCAUCAUAGGCAUCGUGACAACGGCUGACACCCGGCAGCUAUGAUGUGCCAGGCAUUGGUCUAAGGGCCUCCCAAGGGCGCACUCCUUCAACCAUCUCGACAACGCUGUGAUGUAGGUGCUAUGAUCAUCCCCAUUUUACAGAUGAGGACUGCGGCACGGAGAGGCUACGUAAUGUGCCCAGGGUCACACAGCUAUCUAGCGGGAGAGCUGGGAUCUGAACCCAGGCAGACUUACUAGUCUAUGCCAUCUGGGCCCUCUAGGGCGGCAAGAGGCCCUGGAUGGACGGGGACGACAUCGCCUCCCUUCCCUCCCGGCCCCCACUUACUCUGCAGCCUUCCCCAGCCGGUGACGUAGCAGGGGUAGUUGUUGCUGAGAAUGGUGCCAGCAGCUGGGAGGCAGGCCAGCUGGAUCUUGUCGCUCAGGGAGACAGCUGAAGCCAAUUUGAGCAGGGCAAUGUCAUACCUGGGUCAGUGAAGAGGCAGAGCACGAAGAAAGAGUUGACUUUCCCCACCCUGUGGGGCUUUGGAGAGCUCUGAGACCCUUGUCAUCUUUCUGUGGACAUGACCCCCAGGCUGCCCUGACAGGCAGGACAGAGGCCUUGUUGGGAGGGGGAAGGCGGAGAGACUGUGCCCUACUCCCCUGACAGCCGUGGGGUCUGCAGCGCCACCCGUGGGUCUCCAAGGCUUGGCACGGAGUAGCUGCACGGUCAGUGAGGGUCUGGGCUGGCCAGGCGGCCAGCAGAGAUAGCUGGCAGGAAACCCAGGUCACUCUAGCAGUCUUUGCUUCUCCUUUCCCAGGUCACACCCCCACCCCAGGGACCUUUGGGGCUGGCUCCAUGUCUAACAGUCAGAGCUCCCUCUGCCUCCCUAGAGAGGCAGCAAAGGAGGGGGUGGGGUUGAGCCCACUGCCUCUUUGAGACUCCUGGCUGUUUCCUUGCCAACCUAACCCUCCAAGUGCACCCAGACGUACCCGUUGGCCACCUUGUUGGAGUUCCACUUCUCAUGCACCACUCUCUUGGACACCUGGACGGCCACAGAGCCCGACUCCUCAGUGGAGAGGCUUUGCCGGCCCAGCACCACGCGAACUUAUUGUAAAUUAAGUGGGAGAAAGGAACCACCCGCAGCAAGGAGUGCCACUGACCCAGCAGAACCUCGGAAUCUCCGGUGAUGGUAUUGAAGCUUGGAGAAGUUAUUUAAGUUGUUCGAGGGAACCCAAUUCCAUAUCUAGAGGACACAUCUACAACCCCGGAGGGCAAGGAUGGUAUCAUCCCCUCUGCAUCCUCCCUCAGUGCCUGGCACAGGUCCCUGAGACUAUGCCACGUAUGGACCCAUGGACGGACUAACAGACAGAAGCCUAGAUGGACCGAAGCUUGUGCGUUGGCCAACAGGUGGUCAUUUGCACAGCCUGGGCGUGGCAGUUACCUGAUGCAGUGGGCGGCUGUCAGGACCCAGUUAUUGGCCACCAGGGACCCUCCGCAGGUGUGGUACCACUUGCCACUGGAGCUGUACUGCAGGGAGGCCUGUAGAGAAGCACAGGCACGCUGGUGGCUGGAAGGUCCAGGCCACGCUGCUGUCCAGUGUCCCCAGAACAGGGCUGGGACCCCGUAAGGCAGUGAGGCACUCAUAGGUGCAAAACUUAAGGGGGUGCCAAAAAACUCAGCCAUCAAGAUAAAAAACAUUUUAAUGCUAUUUAAAAAAUCAAAAUGAGCACAAAAAUUCAGGAUAAACAAAAUAUCAAAAACUUAAAUAGACAAUUAAAACAUAAUUGUUCUGAACAUCUUUCUGUAGGUUGAUUUGUUGAGACCUUCUCCUUCUUGGGAGCUAUUUCUUAGCUCCCUCCAAUUUAAUGCGACUAAAAGCAAACUCUCGGAUUCCGCCCCCAACCCUGUUCUUUCCGCAGGCUUCCCCGACUCAGUACAUGGCACCUCUUCUUACUGCUCAGGCCACACACUUUGGCGUCAUCCUUUGCUCUUCUCUUACUCUCUUAUCCCGCAUGCAAAUCCAUCUGCAAAUGCCGUCAGCUCUACUUUCAGAACACGUGGAGUGACCGCUACCCUGGCACCACCUGAGCGGCUCGCCCCAGCCACUGUCAUCUCUCGUCUAGUGUCCUGUUUUCCCCACUCCCCCUUGUCCAUUUUCCACCACAGCGGCCAGAAUGAUCCUUUUCAAUGUAAGUCUGGGGCCGGGAGUGAUAGCUCACGCCUGUAAUCCCAGUGCUUUGGGAGGCCGAGGGAAGAGGAUCGCUUGAGGCCAGGAGUUUAAGACC